UCUUUCUUUUCCUUAAUCUCUGGUUCGAAUUUCAUCUAUGGUAUAGUAUAAUGUUCGAUUUCUCAUGUUGUUUGUUUAAUCUCUGGCUGAAAUCGGAACAUCUUUGCCCUUAUACGGUUUUGAAUUGAAGGAGAACAAGAAUCGCGCGAUACUUCGAAGAAUUCAUUGACGGUGCAUCAAAGAUCAAACGGUUCACCUUUACGUGGAAUUGAGGAGAAGUUUUCAUACGUAGUAUUGAGACGAGGAAAAAGACCGCAAGAGAUCUCCAAAACGAGAAGCAAAAAAGUGUAUAUGCUAGUUCUGUUAAUGAGAAGUUGCUGUAUGAAUGUUCAAUUCUCCAAAAACGGCUUGAAGAAUCAAGUGUAAACUUCCUGGUUGAAGAGGAAGACAAAUUAGUUCUGGAUACUUCACCAUCAGAUGCUAUCGAUCUUCUUACCACGUCUGAUAAUCGAAUUGAUCUUCUUCUGGCUGAGUGUUAUAUAUAGUACAAGAUGACUUAUCGAAGCAAGAGAGCAAGGGAAAUACUUGCUGCCACAGCUAAGUCACAAGAUCCAAAAUCAUCACAGUCACCAAAUACAACUGCAUCUAAGUUUCAUGAUCCACUAUCAUAUGUAAGUGAAUUUGCUUCCAAACCAACCAAAAAACAAGUUGUUCAGUCACCACUAGUUGAGGUUCUUAAGAAUGAUAAGUGGGGGCCAUUUUUUCCACUUUAUACAACUACAAAAUGCACACAACCACACCUAGCAAACUAGGAUCUAUUUAGAAAAAACCUCCACCUAUUGUACCACAUUCAAAUAAACUCAACUCCCUUAACAACCCUUUAGCUUCCUCUCCUACUUCUCACCCACCACUUCAGCAUCCUCAACCUGGGAAGGGAGGUUCUUAGAACCUUGGUACUA